UAGGAAUCAAAGCUAAGGCCUUUCUGAUCCUUUUCACCACUGAUGCAUCUUGUCUAUGUCUUUCUAUCUCUUCAUCAUUGUGCUCUUUUAUCACUCAUGGAGCUUCCCGACUUCUAAGAAUCAGAAGCAAAUCUGUGAGGGCUGAGGAGACGGCUUGUUGGUGAAGCGCAACGAGCUUGCUUUGCAUGAGAGGGGAGGCCGUUACUUAACUUCUCCUACAGCACAAGCAGAUCUACGGGCGAGUCUGUGCCGAUGGGAAGAGGCUCGACUGCUAUGCCAUGUCUUAUCUUUCACUUUUGUAAAGCUAAGUUUGCGUCUUACCUGUCAUUCACAUCUCUUGGUAUUGGGUAAGUUACUUUUUACUCAGACCUUGAUUUUUUUUCUUUUUACAUGCAAAAUGGGCAUGGCAGAAAGAAGAAAACUUCUCAUUUUCUGUGUUAUUAUGAACCUUGAAUGAGAAAACAAGGCAGGAGGAAGUGCAGGAUGUGUGGUCAGGAGAUGGUAUCAUACAAGCACA